CCUACGGGUGGCAGCAGUGGGGAAUAUUGGACAAUGGGCGAAAGCCUGAUCCAGCCAUGCCGCGUGUGUGAAGAAGGCCUUCGGGUUGUAAAGCACUUUCAGUGGGGAAGAAAGCCUUGGGGCUAAUACCCUCGAGGAAGGACAUCACCCACAGAAGAAGCACCGGCUAACUCCGUGCCAGCAGCCGCGGUAAUACGGAGGGUGCGAGCGUUAAUCGGAAUUACUGGGCGUAAAGCGCGCGUAGGCGGUCUGAUAAGCCGGUUGUGAAAGCCCCGGGCUCAACCUGGGAACGGCAUCCGGAACUGUCGGGCUAGAGUGCAGGAGAGGAAGGUAGAAUUCCCGGUGUAGCGGUGAAAUGCGUAGAGAUCGGGAGGAAUACCAGUGGCGAAGGCGGCCUUCUGGACUGACACUGACGCUGAGGUGCGAAAGCGUGGGUAGCAAACAGGAUUAGAUACCCUAGUAGUC
rnacentral:rRNA from 1 species